GCGGGUGUCGUAUAGUGGUUAUUACACCGCCUUGCCAAGGCGGAGAUGGCGGUUCGAUUCCGCUCACCCGCUCCC
rnacentral:tRNA from 2 species